AACCCUCCUUCCCCUUCCUAUCGUGCACUCUUCUUCCUCCUUCCCCUCUCCCCAAAUAUCCACAGAGAAGGCAGGAGGACCAAACCCUAGCCGCCGCCGACCCGAUCCCAUGGCGCCGUCCCCGUCCCCGCCGCCGGCGGCGAGCGGAGCGCAGUACGCGCACCAGUUCCUCAACACCGCCCUCUCCCAGCGCGGGCCGUCGGCGCUCCCCUACGCGGAGGACGUCAAGUGGCUCAUCCGCAACCACCUCGUGGCCCUCGCCGACGCCUUCCCCUCGCUCCACCCCAAGGCGGCCCUCUUCACCCACAACGACGGCCGCGCCGCGCACCUGCUCCAGGCCGACGGCACCGUCCCCAUCCACCACGCCGGGGCCACCUACAACCUGCCCGCCGUCAUCUGGCUGCCCGAGACCUACCCGCGCUCCCCGCCCCUCGUCUUCCUCUCCCCCACCCGCGACAUGCUCAUCAAGCCCCACCACCCGCUCGUCGACCGCUCCGGCCUCGUCGCCAACGCGCCCUACCUCCGCUCCUGGGUCUUCCCCUCCUCCAACCUCCUCGACCUCGUCAGAUCCCUCUCCCACCUCUUCGGCCUCGACCCGCCGCUCUUCACCAGAUCCGUCGCAGCCCCGUCUCCCACUCCUCCUCCCGCUCAUCCUCCUCCUCCUCCCGCCGCCGCCUCCCCCGCCAUGCGCCCCGAGGCCGUCUAUGCUCCUGCCCCUCGCCCAUACAGGUUCCCGGCAUCGCCCCAGCUCGCCGCGCGCCAGCCGCCCACAGAGGACCCAGCCGAGGUCUUCAAGCGCAACGCCAUCUCCAAGCUCGUCGACACUGCCUAUGCUGAUGCUGCUGCCCUGCGCACCGCCCGUGAGGCUGAGGUCGACUCCCUCUUCGCCGUGCAGGCCGAGCUGCGUGGCCGGGGGGAGGCGGUGAACGACGGGGUGCGCAGGAUCACGGAGGAGAAGGAGACGCUCGAGCGCCGGCUUCAGGACGUGGUGAUGGCCACUGACGUCAUUGAGGCCUGGGUUGCCGAGAACCGCAAGGGGGCUGCUGAUGACACCGCCGAGGCGGAGGGGGCUAUCCAGCCGGCCGAUGUGCUGUCCAGGCAGAUGCUUGAGUGCACAGCUACUGAUUUGGCGCUCGAGGACACCAUCUAUGCGCUUGACAAGGCUGUGCAGGAAGGAUCGGUGCCGUUCGACGGCUACCUCAGGAGCGUGCGCGCACUUGCACGGGAGCAGUUCUUCCAGCGUGUCCUCUGCACCAAGGUUAACAAUGCGCAGCAGCAGGCACAGGUUGCUAGGAUGGCAGCACGGGCACCACAGUACGCCUCCUAGCCAAGAUGAUGGAUAGGCGAUCCAGGAUGCUUUCCUUUGAUAAAAAAUCAUCUGUGCCAUCUCAUAUGAGUGAUCUUGCCCCCACAGUGUUCUGGAUAUACAGAUCACGUUGAUAAAGUGACGAGACCCUGGACAAGAUUCACGGAACCUAUUUUGGGAGUUCAGCCCUGAGUUCACGGUGUUCAAGAUGCAGGUGUGGUGAAACCGAAGAACAGUGUUCAAGACGUUUUUACUUGUAUGAACAGUGGUACUAUUGGUGCGUUCACUGGGGUUUACAACAAGUCCCACUCAGCCAGGCUUGGACCUUUGCUGUUCCAGAUGUUUUACCAGAAAAAUGUAUUCCUUGGUAUAGUUUCUGCCUAAAUCUUGAUAAUAGGCAGCUUCAUUCAAUCAUUUGAGGAUUGUUCAGUACAAACAUGGCCCUGAUAAUACCAGGAGACACAUUAAACCAGCAGGGCCCUUCAUCAUGGUCAGUUGACUUUGCUAGAACAUGAGCUGCCUCAUUACAAGAACAACUAACAUGAGUACAGCUACAGGAUAUGAAUUUUGGAGCCCUACUCUCAAUAUCAAAGACCUUGGGCAACUAUGUGAGAUCUGUCCUCCCCACUCUUCACCUUACUCAUCAAACUAGCACAAUCGGAAGCAACAAUAAUCUGUUGGAAGCCAGUUUCUUCAGCAAAGGCUAGAGCAUGGUGCACUGCAAUAGCUUCACCCAACUCUGGAUUAUCUACAUGAUCGAAUCUUCUGCUUGCAGCUAACACCAGAUCCAGACGGCUGCGGAUGACAACACCAAUGCCCAUGCCGGUCUGGGCGAAAAUCCAGACUUGGGUGAAGGGUGAGGCAUUUUCCUACCAUUUCUCAUACUGUUCCGAUUCUCCCAAAUGUGCCAAAUUGCAACAGCAUGAGGCAUUAGAAAUCCAGUUUGAUAGCCAUUG